rnacentral:misc_RNA from 1 species
GGACAAGAAAAGAUGAGAACAAUGUAUCAUCGACAACUUCUAAGCUCUUCCUUAAUGAGAUGAACUGCUUCCGACACUCCAUCCUCAUUAGAUAAUUUAUUAGAGAUCUGCAAAGCACGGGUUUUGACUUCAGAAGACUGCGAAUAGUCCAGGGCCCUCACAAGCAUGUUUGCAGCUUUCUUGAUGUAGAAAUCCUCAUCUUUAUCUGGCACCAAGUGUUCUCUUUUCA